UACGGAGGUCCCAAGCGUUGUUCGGAAUCACUGGGCGUAAAGCGCACGUAGGCGGAUGUGCCAGUCAGGGGUGAAAUCCCGGAGCUCAACUUCGGAACUGCCUCUGAUACAGCACGUCUUGAGUCCGGAAGAGGUGGGUGGAAUUCCUAGUGUAGAGGUGAAAUUCGUAGAUAUUAGGAAGAACACCGGUGGCGAAGGCGGCCCACUGGUCCGGUACUGACGCUGAGGUGCGAAAGCGUGGGGAGCAAACAGG
rnacentral:rRNA from 1 species